rnacentral:rRNA from 1 species
UACGUGAAACCGUUCAGGGGUAAACCUGAGAAACCCGAAAGGUCGAAAGGGGAAAUUCAUUCGCGUUUCGGCCGCCGGGGCGGUACGGUCGAGUGACGGACGGCGUACGCGUCGUCCGCGCCUUCCGUUCCGCGAUUCGGCGUCGAACGCGUGCACUUUUCCCCUAGUAGGACGUCGCGAUCCGUUGGGUGUCGGUUUUCAAGGAGCUUGAGGUGGAGCCCGAGCGCGCACGUCUUCGCGGGCGUUUCGCGCGUUCGGACCCUCGGCUUCCCGGCCGACCCGCUCGACGGUAUACAGAUGGCGCGGGGCCGCUAUCUCUCAGUUAGCGUUCGGCCCGCGGCAAGCGCGUUCGGAGUUUGACGGCGAUCGGACCUGGUGCCGGUCCUGUCCCCGGACGACUGUUGGCCGCGGUGUUCUCGAACAGACCCCGAAUCUCGAAACGCCGAUCUGCGACGCUAUAGCUUUGGGUACUUUCAGGACCCGUCUUGAAACACGGACCAAGGAGUCUAGCAUGUGCGCGAGUCAUUGGGACAUAACUAAACCUAAAGGCGCAAUGAAAGUGAAGGCCCGCCUCGCGCGGGCCGAGGGAGGAUGAGCGGUUCGUGCGUUCGCGCGGCCGCUCCGCACUCCCGGGGCGUCUCGUUCUCAUCGCGAGAAGAGGCGCACCAAGAGCGUACACGCUGGGACCCGAAAGAUGGUGAACUAUGCCUGGUCAGGACGAAGUCAGGGGAAACCCUGAUGGAGGUCCGUAGCGAUUCUGACGUGCAAAUCGAUCGUCGGAAC